rnacentral:rRNA from 1 species
GCUGUGAGCUCGAUGAGUAGGGCGGGACACGUGGUAUCCUGUCUGAAUAUGGGGGGACCAUCCUCCAAGGCUAAAUACUCCUGACUGACCGAUAGUGAACCAGUACCGUGAGGGAAAGGCGAAAAGAACCCCGGCGAGGGGAGUGAAAAAGAACCUGAAACCGUGUACGUACAAGCAGUGGGAGCACGCUUAGGCGUGUGACUGCGUACCUUUUGUAUAAUGGGUCAGCGACUUAUAUUCUGUAGCAAGGUUAACCGAAUAGGGGAGCCGAAGGGAAACCGAGUCUUAACUGGGCGUUAAGUUGCAGGGUAUAGACCCGAAACCCGGUGAUCUAGCCAUGGGCAGGUUGAAGGUUGGGUAACACUAACUGGAGGACCGAACCGACUAAUGUUGAAAAAUUAGCGGAUGACUUGUGGCUGGGGGUGAAAGGCCAAUCAAACCGGGAGAUAGCUGGUUCUCCCCGAAAGCUAUUUAGGUAGCGCCUCGUGAAUUCAUCUCCGGGGGUAGAGCACUGUUUCGGCAAGGGGGUCAUCCCGACUUACCAACCCGAUGCAAACUGCGAAUACCGGAGAAUGUUAUCACGGGAGACACACGGCGGGUGCUAACGUCCGUCGUGAAGAGGGAAACAACCCAGACCGCCAGCUAAGGUCCCAAAGUCAUGGUUAAGUGGGAAACGAUGUGGGAAGGCCCAGACAGCCAGGAUGUUGGCUUAGAAGCAGCCAUCAUUUAAAGAAAGCGUAAUAGCUCACUGGUCGAGUCGGCCUGCGCGGAAGAUGUAACGGGGCUAAACCAUGCACCGAAGCUGCGGCAGCGACGCUGAUGCGUUGUUGGGUA